GAGCCGCGUUGUCACGCGCCGUGGCGGGUACUGGACUGGCGGAGCCCGGGGAGUGAAGUAGUGAAAUCGGACCUACGCCUCUCCAACGCUCGCGUGAUCACGUGGUUGGCACCCAGGCGGAAGUCUGCGGCAGUUCUUUGCGGUGAAGAACUUGCAAAGCGUUGCUGGAAAAGACGGGAGUUCUACUGACACUCCAGUCCAAAGCUAGGCGGUGCCUACUGCCUCGCUAGGAAUGGCCGCGGAGGAGGACUGGUCACGUGGCGUGGCUUCCGGCCUCUGGCGCGUUCCUAUUCGGGAAGGUUUUAAAUGCGGAGUCAUCUCUUGAUUUGUCAGCGAGGCUUUGACUGUGAGCUUCGCGGCGUUCGCGCCUCACCGCCUCACCGAGGUGGGUACGCUGCGAAGACUAGGCUUAUGUUACCCAGAGGUUAGUCCUCUACUAGGCCACGUACUUUAAAUAAUUUAUCACGCUAGUGGAAAUGCGGGGUGGAAGAAAACCCCACCAGCCUUUGGAUUGUAACAGCACAGUAACUUUCCCUGGUUUUUAAAAAUAUUGCCAAAAUACUGCGACUCCAUGUGGCCAACGUAUAGUGACUGAUCACUUUGAAAUGCAUGCCCUUGACCCACCAACUCGCAUGGCCUCUCGCUAUAAGAGAGCAAGCCGGCUGUGUUCCAUGUUCAAUUCAAUAAGUGCAAUUCAAUAAGCUUUUGACUUGUUCUGCCCAAGCAAAUCCUGCCUUUAUAUCGACCUUGCAAGCAGAACAGAGAAUGCUGUUUGGAAGGCAGAAUUCAUAGUACCUAGUUUUCUUGUCCCUGGGAAUUUUGAGGGACUUGAAAUGUCGCGUGGAUGAGUGAGGGAGUUUGUCUUCCAGAGACAAAGCAAAACGAAACGUCAAAGUUCUGUGCUGGUGAAACCAGAUUUGAAGAAUAUCAAAGGCGUCUUACCAAAGAGGAAAAAAAAUGCAUCUUGCCAAGACUUGAAGAAAGGGAUUAGAGAAACCAGAGGCCUUGAAUACUCAGAAAAUGGGAGAUUGUGAAUGGGUGUAGAGGAUAUCUAUGAACCUUGACAUUUCUUUUCACGCCAAGUCCAUUCCCCUGUUAACAGUUGCUUCCCAGUUUCCUGCACAGCUGCAUGGUCUGGGACACUUAAAGAAAAAAAUCACAGGAAAUCAGUGUUCUUGGUAUAUUAUAUAAAGUUAUGAUUCUAUCAACAUUUGUAAUUCAUUUAAUAUUCAGGUGACAGCCCGAAAAUUUACACUAAACAAUACCAUUCCUGUUAAGUUUUACUACAUAUUGAGAGGACUUCUUGUUACCUCCCUAUUACAUACUCCCAAACGCUUUGCACAUGGAAUCCCUCACCUUCCACCUAGUUUUCCCCCCUACUAUUGAUAUUCUUGACUAAAAGGUUGAGUAGUUUCGCCAUCAAUUAAAGUUAAAACCACUGCAGACAGGACAGGGAAGAAAAGCUACGAGGUUUGCUCUUCACAGAAUUAAUCUGUGAAAUAAUGGAUUGUAGUUACUGGAUUAAAAUGGCAGAAAACCUAGUCUUGGCCUCCUUAAGACCAUCAGACUCCCUGGAGGCUCUGAGUUGGCUUCUCUCUUUACACCUAGAUUGCAACAAGACCUAAGCACUUGGUUAAUAUUUACCCAGGAACUUAGAUUGCUUGUGUGUCUGGCAUCUAGCCAUCAUGGAUUCCAUUCCAAUAUAUUGGUUUUCCAGUCCCUCAAUAGCUGUUAUAUGCCUUCAUUGCAACAUAUGUGUGCCAUCCAGUUUAGUUUCGGAAAGAAAUAUUUUCUGUUAUACCAAAAUUGUAGGACUGAAUACUUGGAAGCUGCAGCCCUUUAAUUCACAAAACAAAAUUUGUGAGAGAAAACUUCUCCCAAGUAAGAUUACAUUUAGCAUCAUAUUUAAAUUGUUUCUAUCUGAACUUUUUAUUCUUGGUCUCCUACAGCUUGAAUGACGUUUCUAACUUUAACAGCUCUUUCUACUAUAUAAAACAUUUAUACAGGAUUUGCUGUUUGUGAUCUUACACUUUGUAGCAGCUAUGUACUUAGAUAGAUACAUAAUAGUACUCUCCUUGUGAUGAAUGUUUAUGUGUUUUUUUUAACUUCAAAAUGAUUUAUACUGGGAGUUAAAAUGUUGCGUCUUUCUUUUAAUAUGCAGCCUAAACACUAGAUAACUGUAAAACAAGAGAAGAAAAGGGAAAAAAAAUCGAUGUAUAAAUUUUGCUACACCAUCAACAAAAUGACAGCAAACCUUCUGUGUCCAAACAUUUAAAUAUUUUACUGUCCAAAUGACUAUUUUAGCAACAAUGCCAAGAAAGAGAAGAGUCUAAAAAGAUUGUGGAAAUUGGCUUAAACUAAAAUCUUGUGACUUCCCAGCAAACUCCAUUUUCUUAAAUAGUGAAGAAAGAAAAAAAACAAAACUAGUUUUGAGGCAUAUUUAGGCCCU
rnacentral:lncRNA from 1 species